rnacentral:rRNA from 1 species
UUAAUGAGAGUUUGAUCCUGGCUCAGGACGAAACGCUGGCGGCGUGCCUAAUACAUGCAAGUAGAACGCUGAAGGAGGAGCUUGCUUCUCUGGAUGAGUUGCGAACGCGGGUGAGUAACGCGUAGGUAAGACCUGCCUGGUAGCGCGGGGGAUAACUAUUGGAAAACGGAUAGCUAAUACCGCAUAAGAGUAGAUGUUGCAUGACAUUUGCUUAAAAGGUGCACUUGCAUCACUUACCAGAUGGACCUGCGUUGUAUUAGCUUAGUUGGUGGGGGUAACGGCUGCACCAAGGCGACCGAUACAUAGCCGACCUGAGAGGGUGAUCGGCCACACUGGGACUGAGACACGGCCCAGACUCCUACGGGAGGCAGCAGUAGGGAAUCUUCGGCAAUGGACGGAAGUCUGACACGCAGCAACGCCGCGUGAGUGAAGAAGGUUUUUCGGAUCGUAAAGCUCUGUUGUAAGAGAAGAACGAGUGUGGAGAGUGGAAAGUUCACACUGUGACGGUUAUCUUAGCCAGAAAGGGACGGCUAACUACGUGCCAGCAGCCGCGGUAAUACGUAGGUCCCGAGCGUUGUCCGGAUUUAUUGGGCGUAAAGCGAGCGCAGGCGGUUAGAUAAGUCUGAAGUUAAAGGCUGUGGCUUAACCAUAGUAGGGCUUUGGAAACUGUUUAACUUGAGUGCAAGAGGGGAGAGUGGAAUUCCAUGUGUAGCGGUGAAAUGCGUAGAUAUAUGGAGGAACACCAGUGGCGAAAGCGGCUCUCUGGCUUGUAACUGACGCUGAGGCUCGAAAGCGUGGG